rnacentral:rRNA from 1 species
CCUACGGGUGGCAGCAGUGGGGAAUAUUGCACAAUGGGGGAAACCCUGAUGCAGCGACGCCGCGUGAGUGAAGAAGUAUUUCGGUAUGUAAAGCUCUAUCAGCAGGGAAGAAAAUGACGGUACCUGACUAAGAAGCCCCGGCUAACUACGUGCCAGCAGCCGCGGUAAUACGUAGGGGGCAAGCGUUAUCCGGAUUUACUGGGUGUAAAGGGAGCGUAGACGGCGAAGUAAGUCUGAAGUGAAAACCCAGGGCUCAACCCUGGGACUGCUGUGGAAACUGUUUUGCUAGAGUGUCGGAGAGGUAAGUGGAAUUCGUGGUGUAGCGGUGAAAUGCGUAGAUAUCAGGAGGAACACCGGUGGCGAAGGCGGCCUACUGGACGAUAACUGACGUUGAGGCUCGAAAGCGUGGGGAGCAAACAGGAUUAGAUACCCUUGUAGUC